UAGGACCUAGCCUCGGACUAAUUUCUGAGA
rnacentral:piRNA from 1 species